rnacentral:tRNA from 1 species
GUCUCGGAUAGCUUAACUGGUAGAGCUCUUGGCGCGUAACCGAGAGAUCUGGGUUCGAUCCCCAGUCUGGGCU